UAGGGAAUAUUGGUCAAUGGAUGCAAGUCUGAACCAGCCAUGCCGCGUGCAGGAAGAAGGCCUUCUGGGUCGUAAACUGCUUUUACCAGGGGAUAAAAUUCCGAUGCGUCGGAAAUUGAAGGUACCUGGUGAAUAAGCCACGGCUAACUACGUGCCAGCAGCCGCGGUAAUACGUAGGUGGCAAGCGUUGUCCGGAUUUACUGGGCGUAAAGAGCGCGCAGGCGGUCGGAUAAGUCGAGUGUGAAAGCCCCUGGCUCAACCAGGGAGGGUCAUUCGAUACUGUUCGACUCGAAGGCAGGAGAGGGAAGUGGAAUUCCGGGUGUAGUGGUGAAAUGCGUAGAUAUCCGGAGGAACACCAGUGGCGAAGGCGACUUUCUGGCCUGUUCUUGACGCUGAGGCGCGAAAGCUAGGGGAGCAAA
rnacentral:rRNA from 1 species